rnacentral:rRNA from 1 species
UUCCUUUAGUUUAUUUUUAAAGGUAAUUUCUGCCCUAUGAAUUUUAAAUGGCUGCAGUACCCUGACUGUGCAAAGGUAGCAUAAUAAUUAGUCAUUUAAUUGUUGACUUGUAUGAAUGAAUACAUGAGAUGUAAAUUUUAUUAAUUUUAAUGUUUAAAUUUUAUUUUUAGGUAAAAAAGCUUAAUUGAAUUUUAGGGACGAUAAGACCCUAUAGAACUUUAUAAGUUUAUUAAAUUAACUGAAUUUAGAAGUUUAUUUUAUUUAUUUUAUUAAAAUUUGUUUGGUUGGGGUGAUAAGUAAAAUUUUACUUUACUUUAUUUAAUCAUUAAAUUUAUGUUUUUAUUGAUCCACUGUUUAGAUAAAAAGAAAAAGUUACCUUAGGGAUAACAGCGUAAUUUUAGUGGGGAGUUCUUAUUUAUACUAAAGUUUGCGACCUCGAUGUUGAAUUAAGAUUAGUUUAGGGGGUAGGUUUUCUAAAACUAAGUCUGUUCGACUUUUAAAAUCUU